UCGUUUUAUUCCUCUUUUGUUGGACUAAUAUUUUCAAAAGUAAAUAUUAGUCCAACAAAAGAGGGAUAAAAGG